rnacentral:lncRNA from 1 species
UUGAUCAGAAAAUGAAGGAAAUUCGAUUUCAGAACCACAUCUUUCAUGUGGGAAAACUGGACAUUUAAUGAAAUUGGAUGCUGAGGUAUUGACACACAGGUAAACUUGGAAUAGCUGAUUAUUCCCUGAUGAAUCCACAUUGCAUUCUAUGGACGGAGCAUACCCGAUGCCUUCUUCAAUUUUAUAUCAUCAAGAAACUUUCCAAUGGCAAUAAAUUUAUCACAGAGAAAACGAAAAGAGUGAGUAUAUUCAGUCACACUACGAGAGCCAUGCUGGAGCAAUUGAAGUUUGUCUAGCUAAAUCUCACGUGUCUUGGAGCUGUGAGAAUAUGACGUUUCGAGGGUCAACCAAGCAUAACUGGAAAUAGCACAAUUGACAACCUCGGCCAUACAGUCCUCGGACAUGGGAAGCAUAAAUGAGGCUAAGCAGCAUACGAUCUUGAGUACGCCAUUUCUUGUAGGCCUGAUUUGGAACCUAGCCAAUACCUUCGAUAAUAACAGGGGAAGGUGUAAUGGAUGAUCCGUCUAAAAAGCCCACGAGAUCUUGGCUUUCAAGAAGGGAAACAAACUGAUUGCGCCACAAAAGAAAAUUGGACGUAGUGAGUUUGAUGGUCACUAUAUGGAUCGUCGUAUUGAGUGGAAGCAUACUAGAACUAGAGCUAGAAUCAGCCAUGGAAAGAAAAAGGUGUGAACCAUGGAGCACUGAUACAAUGAAAAGGAAUCUCUCAAUGUUAUUAAUGAAUACAUUGGUAGUGUAUCUAUACAUAAAGUACAGUAUGUGAUAAAUAUUAAAGAUAAAUAUAAACUAUUUACAUGAUAAAUACAAAAUAAGUAAGAACCUAAUCUAGUUUGUAUUAUGAAUAAAAAUAGAAUAAACUAAACUGAAUAGGAGUCUGUAGUUGGAGGCCAUAGAGAUUGGUAUGCUAAGAUUAAGGUAAUACUUUCCGAUAUUCAUCAAUGGAUUUUCCUCCAAUAGAUUCUCCUCCAAUACCCAUUCAUGAAGAUUUAGUAUUUCAGCAAAUGUAACAACAAGGUUUGGUCUUAUUGCUGAAAGGAGGAUUGGUCAACUUAGGUAUCAAGUUGCUACUACUGUAGCUAAAGCUGAUUAGGGUGCUUGGAGUAAUGUCAAAAGGAUGCGGAUUUUAAUUUUUUAGCGUCUUUUGAUUGUGUCUGAAUAAGAUUUUUAUUCUUUGAAACAGAGUUCUUUUAAUUGCUAAAUAUUUCUUUUGAUUGGUGAAAUAUUUAUUUAAAAAAAUAGCUUCAAAACGACAAUGUGCAAAUGAACAUUGUUGAAAAGUAAUGAUGACAUGCAAAUGAAUGUUGUUGAAAAAUAACAAUAAUGUUCAGAUGCAUAUUGCUAAAACAUUAAUGACAAUGUGCAAAUGGACAUUGUUGAAAGGUAAUGGCAAGCUAAAAAUUAGUGACAACGCAUUUUGCAUCCUUUAGCAACAUGCAUUUUUUGUUGAUAUAUCCAUUUAUUCCACGUCAACAUCGAAUUCUGCAACAUAUAGCUGCACCUUGGUAACGAUCCACAGCAACACAUUUUGCCCGGUGUAAAAUGCUAUUUUCCUGUACUAACAUUUUAUCCCAUUAUGAUGUAUACCACAAAACAAAUAUUAUUUCCCUAAUGUGUGUCCAUAUUAUAUCAUCUGUCACAAAAAAUAAUUUUAUUAAUUAUAGUAAAAAUAGAACAAGUAAUCUAAAAUUGCAGGAAAUAAUAAAAGAGUGAAUGAAUUUUCAACCAAGGCCUGUGUAAAAACAAUUUCCUUAAAACAGAUUCGUCCCUCAUUGUAGGUGUUUGAGGUUUAAUUUGAGCAUCAGCUACUCAAGAUACAAUAGAAAAACAGUAGAGUUUGAGCACUACAAACACUACUCCGACGAUUUGACUCAGUAUUUUAACGCUAUCACCAAGAUCUUGACAGAAUGUAUAAUUAUGUAUGUAGAGAGAGAAAAAAAUUAUGCAGAGAAACGAGUUUUUUUCUGUGCCUGCAAGGAAGGAAGAUAACUAGAUAAAUAAGUUGCAAAUGAGAAUUAACAGGCUAGGAGUUAUUUCAUUAACCACCAUUAACCUGGCUGUUAAUAUCUCCAUUAACACAAACAUGAUCAUAUGGGUUUCAGGAGUUAAAAGAAUUUGGAAUUUUUUUAUUGGAAAAAUAAUAAAAUAAAGGCAAAACAUUGACCCUCCUAAGGAGCUAAUUUUUGUUUCAUUCGGUUUAGUAUUCGUGUACGCAGAUUGUACCCACACACAAGUUCAAGGUCCAAAGUCUAUUUCGGUCCGUGAUUUAUGCCGUCGUACAUGCAUAUGGAAAGAGCCUUUGUACUACACAUUAUUCCACCAAUCCAAAGUAUAAUCAUAUUUAAAGUGGUCAGUGCAUUUAUCAAUUUUUCUAUGUGGGAUAACUUUAAAUUAGUUUCCCUUCUAAUACAAAAUCUCAUCCAAUGCAUCACUUUGAGCUCCAAUUUCCCACCGGAGCAUCACUUUUGGCAAGUAAAUAAAUGAUUUCGAUAUUCUCAUGGAAGAGAACGCAAAUCAAUCUUGAUCUUCCAAAAUAAACAAAUGCGUCCUACUCAAAAUUUAUGCCAAAGUGAGUCCUUUAAUCCAUUUUUUCCAACACCAACCAUCCAACCUUCACAAUGUUCAUAGAAAAGCAGUUAACUGUGUUAGCCUCUAAUAUAUCUUUCCGCGCAUAGGGAAGCGUAUAAAAGGACCACUUGCCGAUACAAAACUAAAGAAAAUGGAAAGAAGAAGGAAGUUGUCUUUUCUUGUAUUAUUGAAAUGUUUUAAUUAAAAAUUAUAAAAAAAAUAAAAUACGUUGUGUGUUUAAUUUACUCGUAAAUGAGUAUUAAUUAUUUUUUCUAAAAAUUGUAAAAGAAAUGGUAUACAUUAUUUUUUAACAUUAGAAUCUAACUCGGCAAUUUUCGUUGUACGAGAUUCCUGAGAACUAGGAUCAAUUUGAUCAAACAAUUUAUUGAUAAAAGCAAUAAAACCAACUUUGCAAUAACCCUUUACAAAUAAGAAAGGUUAAAUUCAACAUGAUAUUAAGGCAAUAAGAGUAAUCAAAGUUCGUUAUGCGAAUCUAAUUGAUCAGAAAAUGAAGGAAAUUCGAUUUCAGAACCACAUCUUUCAUGUGGGAAAACUGGACAUUUAAUAAAAUUGGAUGCAGGUAAACUUGGAAUAGCUGAUUAUUCCCUGAUGAAUCCACAUUGCAUUCUAUGGACGGAGCAUACCCGAUGCCUUCUUCAAUUGCUUGCUUUACACUCUCUAAACUGUAGAAUUUUCCAGGUUGGAUUCCUACGACAAAAUCUCACUUGAGUUAAUCUUGUUUAGAACGUCGCCUAAAUUUGGUUCGAUUACAUUUUGAGCCUUGUAACGUACCUGCAUUUUUAAGGACUUGUAGCAAAUUGGCUUUCUUCUUGAGAUCAAGAGCUGAUUGGAAGUACGUGUGUUGAUCAAGGGUGGUACAUGUUCCGUGUUUAUCCCCUUCAUG